GACGAACGCUGGCGGCGUGCUUAACACAUGCAAGUCGAACGAUGAACCCGGAGCUUGCUCCGGCGGAUUAGUGGCGAACGGGUGAGUAACACGUGAGUAACCUGCCCUUGACUCUGGGAUAACUGCUAGAAAUGGUAGCUAAUACCGGAUACGACCCUCGGCGGCAUCGCCAGGGGGUGGAAAGAAUUUCGGUCAAGGAUGGACUCGCGGCCUAUCAGCUAGUUGGUGAGGUAACGGCUCACCAAGGCGACGACGGGUAGCCGGCGUGAGAGGGUAGACGGCGCCACUGGGACUGCGACAGGGCGCAGACUCCUACGGGAGGCAACAGUGGGGAAUAUUGCACAAUGGGCGCAAGCCUGAUGCAGCAACGCCGCGUGAGGGAUGACGGCUUUCGGGUCGUAAACCUCUUUUAGUAGGAAAGAAGCGAAAGUGACGGUACCUGCAGAAAAAGCACCGGCUAACUACGGGCCAGCAGCCGCCGUAA
rnacentral:rRNA from 1 species